GCCUACGGCCAUACCACCCUGAAAGCGCCCAAUCUCGUCUGAUCUCGGAAGCAAAGCAGGGACAAGCCUGGUUAGUACCUGGAUGGGAGACCACCUGGGAAUACCAGGUGUUGUAGGCU
rnacentral:rRNA from 1 species